rnacentral:tRNA from 1 species
GCCCCGAUGGCGGAAUUGGUAGACGCGCUACAUUCAGGAUGUAGUAAUCGAACGGUUGUGCAAGUUCGAGUCUUGUUCGGGGCA